UACGAAGGGGGCUAGCGUUGCUCGGAAUCACUGGGCGUAAAGGGUGCGUAGGCGGGUCUUUAAGUCAGGGGUGAAGUCCUGGAGCUCAACUCCAGAACUGCCUUUGAUACUGAGGAUCUUGAGUCCGGGAGAGGUGAGUGGAACUGCGAGUGUAGAGGUGAAAUUCGUAGAUAUUCGCAAGAACACCAGUGGCGAAGGCGGCUCACUGGCCCGGUACUGACGCUGAGGCACGAAAGCGUGGGGAGCAAACAGG
rnacentral:rRNA from 1 species